GCCUCUCCCCGCCAACCCUGCCCGGAGCGCCAGCGAUGCCCUCUGCCCGCGGGGACCCGAGCCUCGCGCGCCCUCCGCCCUCCCUACCCUGGCCCCUGUACCCAUCACACCUGGGGCACUGCCGUCCGCCGAGCUUGGGCGCGCGGCGGCGAGAAGGCACUGGAGGAGGAGAAGCAGCCGGGGCGUAGGCGCCCUCGCCCCCAGCAGGCCGGGGAGGGCGCGCAUGGCGCCAGAGGGUCCGCCUCAGUUCUCGUGGAGACUGCUCCCUCAGCUCGCCGCCGCGGGUGUCCGGAAUCCCUCCGCACACUCGCAGGUGGCCCGGCACCCGCAGCCAGUGCCGCGGGCAGGACGCUGAAGAAAAGGCGGAAUGGGAGGGGCCCGGCCGCCUUGCCCUACUCCCCGAGACGCUCUUACCGCGCCCGGCCUUCCAUCAGUUAUGCAGCCCUCAGCCCGCUGCUGGCGUUCCCGGAUGUGCGGUGCUACUCCCGGCUGCAGCCUCUCCGGCCUCCGCCCUCUAGGCUCUAGCAGGUCGGGAGAGAGCUUGGGCAGGUGAUGUGUAGCCCAUCGCGUGGGGAGAGGUUGAAACUAUCCCUGCAGACUGGCCUUUGCACUUCAUCUGAGGCAGAUUUCACUAAUUUUCGUUGAUGGGACAGAUGAGAGACACUUUCCUCCUCCCCGACCCCGGACAUCUUUGGGCUUUCUUAUGAGGGAGGCUUAUUUUUGCGCAGGUGUAAGGUUUUAUCCAGCUGCCAGACAACUUGUACUGAUCUUUCUUUGCUUUGCCUACUAAUCACACACACCCUCUCUUCUAGCCUGUGAAGACUUAACUGAUUUUCUACGGAUGAAGGUUUCAGUGUCCCAAGGCCCCAUACCGUAUCUGAUUUUACUUUAUUUUUGUUUGUUAAGCCUAACAGCUUCUGAGGAGCCACGUAGAGCUCAAGAAGCAAAAGCUACUGAGAGUAGAUGCUAUGUAAACUGCACAAGACGUUGACCUUUGUUAAAUCCGAACACUGUUUAAGAUAAUGCUAUCUCUUACCCACGAGGCUGUAGCUUGGAAUAUUCAGUGCUCUGAACCAAAUUAAAUAAAUUAGUGCUUUAUCCGGGAGGGGAGGAGAAAUCUAUGUUGUAACAUUGAAACACAUUGAUUUGAUUUCUCUCCAGGAUGUUAUAACGCAUUAAAAGAUAUUUUAAAUAUUUUUCACGAGCUUUGUUUCCUCUCCCUUUAUUUUUUGAAGUUCAGCUUUCACAUUCGUAAAUUCAAAAUAUAUCAGCGUUAAAAAAAAAAAAAAGGAUUGGAAAUAACAUAAGAGACAAAUUUUGAAAAUUGAACUAUUUAACAAAACCUAUGCUUAUUCCAGGCAGGAAUGGUUAAUUUGUAAUUGGUACGUAUUACUAAAACAUGUCCGUUUUUGUUUUAGUAUUAUAUGCGCAAAACUUUGGAAACAGAUGUAGAUUCUUCAAGUUGGCAGUGAGAGAAUAUGAAUAAUACAAUUCAUUCAACCAUAUUAUCUACCAGGUGCCAGUCAUUGUGUUCAAAAAAGGCUAGAUAGGCACGCAUGCACGAAUGCACGCAUGCACACAUGUACACACACACACACACAAAUUAGACAACUAUUUAUCUGUGAAUAACAAAUCUUAGAAAAGCCUCUUCUCAGAAAAUUAUGGUCACAAUGAUUAAAAUCUUUUGAAUGAAACUUUAAAAGAUGCCUUCAAGGACUAAAUUGUAUACACUGUUGACCCUCUGAGGGCAUUGACUGGGCUUGCUAAACCCAAAUUGCCUAAUCAAUGGCUGCUACAUCACGCCUCUUUCUUUCUACCCUGCAUCUGGUCUCAGGACUAACUGCACACGUUUCCCUAUAAUUAGGUAGAGUGUCAACACUAAGCACUUCUCACCUCAAACUAAACUCUGACUGACUUUUCCCAGUUAGUCUCAUAAAAUCCUUAGACACAGUAUUCACCCGUCUUCAAAUGAGCUGAACUUACUUAAACAUUUUUUUUUCAGUUGAAUCAGCCUAUUUAUGACAAGAAAAACUUACUUGCCCAAGUUGAUGCUGAUCCCCACUGUUGCUUUUGCUGUUAGAACAAAAAAGUUGAGAAAGAAAUAUAAUUCUCAUUUUGCUAAGCAUUUUGAAAGUCUUUUCAUCAUUGUUCCUGUUCUAUAUUUAGAUAUUUGAUAUUUCCAGCCUUAUGCACAUUCCACUUUUUCAAAUGCUCCAUAUCCUUUAAAACCAGCUUAUCAACUGCCUUCCCUAUAUAACUUUUUCUGACCUUUCUGGUCCAAACUGACCUUUUCCUCCUUGGUGAAAUAAAUAUUGCAACAAGCACUUUGAUACUCUCAUCAUCAUGAAGUGUAUAAAGGGGGAAUAAGGGUCCUUUGUUUUCUCCCCUUGAGUUGGGUGGGCUCUGUGACUCCCCUAACCUACUGAAUAUUGCUGAAGAGAUAUUGUGUGGGCUGGCCAGGCCUGGUGGCUCGCGCCUGUAAUUCCAGCACUUUGGGAGGCUGAGGCAGGCAGAUGACAAGGUCAGGAGCUCGAAACCAGCCUGGCCAAUAUGGUGAAACCCCAUCUCUACUAAAAAUGCAAAAAAAAAAAAAAAAAAAAAUUAACUGGGCGUGGUGGCACAUGCCUAUAAUCCCAGCUACUUGGGAAGCUAAGGCAGGAGAAUUGCUUGAACCCAGGAGGCAGAGCUUGCGGUAAGCCAAGAUUGCGCCACUGCACUCCAGCCAGGGCAACAGAGCAAAACUCUGUCUCAAAAAAAAAAAGAGAGAGCGAGAGAGAAAGAUUGUGUGGGCUUUCUGUUCCAGACCACAAGAGCUUCCACUUCCUUUCUCUUGGAGACCUUGCUCAUAGAAGACAGCUGCCUGGUGAAAAGUACUACGGUAUUAUCCUGAGACUGCCACACGUUCCAGGGUACAUGUGCAGAAUAUGCAGGUUUCUUACGUAGGUAAGUAUGUGCCAUGGUGGUUUGCUUCACAGAUCAUCCCAUCACCUAGGUAUUAAGCCCAGCAUGCAUUAGCUAUUCUUCCUGAUGCUCUCCUUCCUGCAACACCCCACCCCCAACAGGCCCAGUAUGUGUCCAUGCGGUCUCAUCAUUAAGCUCAUUCAGCUGAGAAUAUGUGGUGUUUGGUUUUCUGUCCCUGCAUUAGUUUGCUGAGGAUAACAGCUUCCAGCUCCGUCUAUGUCCCUACAAAGGAUAUGAUCUUGUUCCUUUUUAUGGCUGCAUAGUAUUCCAUGGUGUAUAUGUACAACAUUUUCUUUAUCCAGUCUACCAUUGAUGGGCAUUUGGAUAGAUUCCAUGUCUUUACUAUUGUGAAUAGUUGGUUAUUAUAUCUUUGCAGUAAAUUUUGAAGCCAGGUAAUGUGAUGCCUCCAGCCUUUUUUUUUUUUUUUUCUUUUUUUGCU
rnacentral:lncRNA from 1 species